GUGCUUGCUUCAGCACACAUAUGUGAACAUUGGAAUGAUACGAAAAAGAUUAAUUAUCAUAGCCCCUGCGCAAGAAUGACACACAAAUCCAUGAAGCAUUCUAUACUUUC
ensembl:snRNA U6 U6 spliceosomal RNA